CCUACGGGAGGCAGCAGUGGGGAAUAUUGCGCAAUGGGCGCAAGCCUGACCCAGCAACGCCGCGUGAAGGAAGAAGGCUUUCGGGUUGUAAACUUCUUUUCUGAGGGACGAAGAUAGUGACGGUACCUCAGGAAUACGCCACGGCUAACUACGUGCCAGCAGCCGCGGUAAUACGUAGGUGGCAAGCGUUAUCCGGAUUUAUUGGGUGUAAAGGGCGGGUAGGCGGGAAAGCAAGUCAGAUGUGAACACUCAGGGCUCAACCCUGAGACUGCAGUUGAAACUGUUUUGCUUGAGUGCUGGAGGGGCAAGCGGAAUUCCGGGUGUAGCGGUGAAAUGCGUAGAUAUACGGAGGAACACCAGUGGCGAAGGCGGAUUGCUGGACAGUAACUGACGCUGAGGCGCGAAAGCGUGGGGAGCAAACAGGAUUAGAUACCCCAGUAGUC
rnacentral:rRNA from 1 species